rnacentral:piRNA from 1 species
UACUUGUUGGAUGUCUGUGGUGUGAUGUGU